GCGCCACCUCCUCUCUUCUUUUCCCUUCUUCUUCUUCUUCUUCUUCUUCUUCUUCUUUCUUUCUUUCCUUUUUCUUUCUUUCUUUCUUUCCCUUUCUUCUUCCCUGCAACUGGGCCUGCGUCACUGCCAGCCCCUCCUCUAGCUCAUCGCGCCACCACAGCCCCUUCUGCCUUCGAUCGAGCAAGCGCCGCGUCUCACCCAGCUCGUCACGCCAUCACCACCGCCUAGCCGCCGCUCCAGUACGCCUCCGAUCACCAAGCUUGCAGAAAGUCAACAAAAAAAAAAUUAUUAUGGGAUACUUAUAAAGUUUCGGACUGUGAAGACAAAGGCUGGGAGCGCGCACAAUAAGAAAGGCAGUCCUUUGAAGGACAAAUAAAAAAAACUG